AACGUGCUCCGGGGUCGGUGAGAAUCCGAACCGGCGGUGACAGUCCGCGAACCCGCGCCCCCUUCCCCCGGGAAGAGGACCCGGGCCGAUCCGGUGGAAUUCCGGAACCGACGGUGAUGCGAGGCCGAGGCCUCGUGAGUCCGGAUAGGAGGCAGCACGAG
rnacentral:ncRNA from 1 species